rnacentral:rRNA from 1 species
AUAGCGUAUAUUAAAGUUGUUGCAGUUAAAAAGCUCGUAGUUGGAUUUCAAGGGAAGCGGCGUGGAAACACGUUUGCCCCCUACCAGUCUUUGACUGUUACUGUGAGAAAAUUAGAGUGUUUCAAGCAGGUUGUUGCAGGAAUACAUUAGCAUGGAAUAACGAGUGUGUCUAGAAUCUUGGUUAAUUCUAGAUUACGAUUAAUAGGGACAGUUGGGGGCAUUAGUAUUUAAUUGUCAGAGGUGAAAUUCUUGGAUUUGUUAAAGACUAACGUAUG